rnacentral:lncRNA from 12 species
CGGCGGGCGGAGGCCGGGCGCCCUCUCCCAGGCGCGCCGGGUCGGCCGCUCCCUCCCCCGCGGCCCUACUCGCGCCGCCCCGCGCGCGGCCGGUAUUGUUCCGCGCCGCGGCCGCGGUGUUUAGCCCUCCGCGUCCUCCGCGCUUGGCAUUGGCUGUGCUUCGCGUAGUAAACUUGCGGCAGCCACGAAUUCCCCCAGAUGAAGGAGGCUGCCGCGCCGCUCCCUCUUUCUUUAAGUUGUGCGGGAGGAGGAGGCGGGGGAGGAGGAGAGAGGGGGGAUGUGGGAGGGGAGAAGGCUUGCAGAGGGAGGGGAGGAGGGGAGGCUAGGCUGAAAAACAAUAACAACAAUAAAAAAGUAAUCUCCAGCUCUCUCGCUGCCCUCGCCGCCGCUCGCCGGGCGGCCACAGGCGCCGGACCCCGAGCGGGCAGCCGCGCUCUCGAGGACCGACCGGAGUCCGAGACCCGAGCGAGUGCGAAGAGGCCAAAGCAGGUCCCUCCCCACUUUUGGGCUGCGCUGGGCUCCGCGGUCCACCUCCGCCUCUGCUUAUUUCGGUCUUUGGAAGGGCCCGCCUUGGCGAUGUCAGACGCAGGGGACUCACGACUGUCUCCAUCGGGAUUGAAUGCAAAGCUAUUAUCGAAGUAAUGAUGCUCAUUGCCAAGGAAUUCAAAUAAGGGAAACUCCUUUGAAAUGUUCUGAGAGAGGAUGAAGACAGUGGUGACAAUUCCAAAAAUGAUGCUUCCCCCAUAAACCAUCCAAAGAGAUGGCAGUCCUCGCUCCACUUUUGCCUGGUUGGCUAGAGACAUUUUAAGUCUCUGAAAGGAAAAUUGUCAAAGGACUCAUCCUCUCCAAAUACAGAUGCGGAUUUAGUCUCUGUUGUUUAUUAAUUUUUUUCGUUGUGUUUGCACUCAUGCCUUUCUUAUUUCCCCAUAUAUGAACUUCACUGAAAUUAAAGAAAAAAACCAUUUGAAAUUUGAUUGUAGUAUUUUCUUUGUUUGCUUGUCAGUUUUAUAAGAGGAAUGACAUUCCCAAGGCUCACGGGGAAGUUCCCUGUUAAACAUUGCUCACACCGACGUAAAUGGGACUAUCAAAUCAGUUCUUUUGAAAAUAUUUCUUACCACUUUUCAGGACCAUCUAUCUCCCAGGACCCUAAAGAUGAUGGCUCUACACAGUCUAUUUUUACUUGGACUGCAAACGAAUUAACCUGAUAACUUUUUUUUUUUUUUUGUAUCUCCAAGGGGGGGGAUCAUAUUUAAGUCAUUAUCACCUUUUUUUUUAUUUACAAGUAAUUUUAUACAGGGCAACAAAAUAAAAAUUAAAAACCCUGACGUUAAUUUUUGAGC